rnacentral:lncRNA from 1 species
GCAGGUCUGGCACCAGCUGAACUCCCUUGUUUUUAUAUUCAGCUUGUAAUAAGGCUGCUUCCAUGUUGUUGAGGGUUUCUUUCCCAAUAACUUCAAUGUUAAUCCUGUGCGAGGCAGUCAGAUUCUUGUUGCUUGUCCUCUGCUGAUUUGGAUCCUUUGUUGUGUUGAUACCCUUCCAUGGGCAGAGUCCCGCCUGGUGGUGCAAAGAAGUGGGAAAUUUUAGAAAAUCUAUUCUAUUGGAUGUUGAACAGUCUCCUGUCUUCAUAAAAAUUCAGUUUGGCUUUUGUGUUUUCUUAUUCAUACUCUCAGAAAUUUCGUUCUAUUUUUUCUUUUACAUGUCUCACUCAUUCUUUCAUUCAUCAAAUAUUUAAUGACCACUAAAUGCAAGGUGCUAUUCUGGAAUGCAGAAAUACAGACGUGAACAAGGUAUAAUUUUUGCCCUUGAGGCAGUUAUAAUCUAUAGUAGUUUGGUCCAACAGCACAUUCUCUGAUGGUAGAAGUCGUCUAUAUACAUAUUGCCCAAUAUGCUUGCUAUACAUAGCUACUGGACAUUUAAAAUGUGGUUAGUAUAAGUGAGGAACCAAGUUUUAAAUUUUAUUUAUUUUUAAUUAAUUGAAUUUAGCCACAUGUAGCUAGUGGCUAUUGGAUGGAGCAUAAAAGGGAGAGACAAAUAAAGAAGAUUUUUACAAUAUUAUAUGUUACAUUUUAAAUAAAAUGGUUGGUUUUACCAUUAAAUAGAUUUGGGGUUAGUUAGAAAGACCGAGGUAUUAAUCUCUACCUAUGUAAACUAGUUGGAAUCCUAUUGAGAAGAAGGCCACAGAAAUGGAAUACAAGAAAAGUAGGAAAAUGUCACAUAGAUGAAGCAUGGUGAGAGGAGGCAAGGAGAAGAAUUGAGGGCCUUGGAUGUUGGAAACUUGCAUAAAUC